rnacentral:pre_miRNA from 1 species
UAAUUACUCCCUCCGUUCCAAAAUAGAUGACCCAACUUUGUACUAAAGUUAGUACAAAGUUGGGUCAUCUAUUUUGGAACGGAGGGAGUACAUG